rnacentral:ncRNA from 1 species
AAAAAAACGAGAAAAGCGGACAAGUAAGUUACUAAAGUUUUGAAGCGAGUUAGGAAGAGUGCGAGCCUAAUAAAAUUUGGUAACCGAAUAACACCCUUUUAGUUGCCGUCUGAACUCCUUAGUAGGACGCGCCGUCACCGCAACGUUAUCAAGCGGAACGUAUGUUAGUACGUUUAAGCUGGUCCGGGCAGUAACGGACAAUUUGGGUGGUACCGCGGAAGUCUUUCGUCCCUAUC